AUUUCCGCCUCGCGUCCCGCCUCCGCGGCUUCGCGGGCUUACCUGGUCGUCUAGUAUCCCAGCUCCUGGUCAGCGGGACGGUGCUGUCCCGGGCGCAGACCACCCUCCCCGCCGCCGCUGCCCAACUCCGGAAGGCCUUGGGUAGGUCGCGAGCCCACGAGCCUCAGUUUGCCGUCUGUGAAAUGGGAGUUCCUGGCAGCUGCCCUUAAUGCGAAACUAAGUCUGAUCGUUCUCUGUGUUUUGUGCGCACUUCUGGAAGCUUCCAAGGGGUCCUUCCAUUUAACAUUUACAAUACCGUGAGGAAGUGGCUUCUGUGAUCUCCCUUUCCAGAUGAAGAGGCUGGUCUGAAGCUUCUCCCUGCGAAUGAAGCCCCAGUGUUUAGAACCUAAGGGAUUGUGCCGAGAUGUCUUUCUAGAUGGCGAAGCUUUAUGGGAACCUAAAUUACCAUCGACCUAUGUUGCGAUGUGUCCUGAAGUGAGCGUUCAUGCGAGGCGCUGAAGAAGCAGGGAACACGGUUAACGAAAUCUGCUGCGCGGCAGUUACUCAAACCGCUACUGAAGAGCGUGGGCCAGAACGGCGAAAAGGGCUCCUCACACAGCACGGGGACGAUUCCUGGGCCACCACCCCCAGCCUCCAGCACUAGCUGAACCGAGAAUCCCCAAGCCCACUGACAGCCCUUUGGGACCCUGUUGGAACCUCUUUCCCACCAGGGUUUGAGAUGACCGAGCUUCCCUGGCUCCCCACCUUUUCCUCCUUGUUCCAGAUUCAUCUUGCCUGUGCAUUUGUCCACCCUAGUUUAGACUACUUAGUUGGGGGAACAGCACGAUAGUCAGAGAGGGUCAAUGAGAGGGCCUGGUUGCAGAGAGCCUUAGGGGCAUGGUGACGGCUCUGACUCAGGCUUUGAGUGAAAUGGGAAGCCAUCGCAUGGUUCCGAGCAGAGCACUGAUGAACUCUGAUCACACCAAAAGUUCCCUUUGAUUUCUCUGUGGAGAACAGACUAAGAGGGUAAGGAAAGGAGCAGGAUGACACCCAAACCAAUGCAGUAAUCGAGGUGGGAAGUGAUGGCAGCUGAGAUAAGAGUGAUCUGUGUCCAGUUGUGGAGGAGUAACUCAUCCUCACCAGCUAGGAGCCCAGGAGUCCUUAAGUUCAGCAUUCUGCAGGAUCGCGAGUCCUCCACAGGGAAGUCAGCAUGCCUCUACUGUCAGUGGCCACCCAGAAGCUUCCCCACCCACAGCUCUCCUCGCUGCCUCUGCUCCCAGCUCAGCAUUCAGCCUGCAAUUUUCUCACCCCAGGGAUUUAAUGGUAGAGGUCUGCUCAUUUUCCUUUUAAGAAAAACAUGUAAAAUAUAAUAAAGUUGUAAGGGAAACCCUGUGAAAGCACUCUUAAACUUGGAAAAAAAUGAGCCAAAAACAAAAAACAUUAUCCAUGUGGCUGAAACUCCACGUUCCCCUCUUCAAUAGAAACCAACAUUCAGAGAUAGCCACUAUCCUGAAUGAGAUGUGGAUGGCUCUGUGGUAUUCAAACUUUACAUGUAUCCCAGAGCAAUACAAAGCAUUUACUAUGCAUAUUUUGCAUUCAUAUAAAUGUAUCAAUAUGAGAUUUUAUCUGUGGGGCACCUGGGUGGCUUGGUGGGUUAAGCCUCUGCCUUCGGCUCAGAUCAUGAUCUCAGGGUCUUGGGAUCAAGCCCUGAAUCGAGCUCUCUACUCUGAGAGCCUGCUUCCCUCUCUCUCUCUGCCUGCCUCUCUGCCUACUUGUGAUCUGUCCAAAAAAAAAAAAAAAAAAAAUCUUUAAGAAAAAAAAGAUUUUUUCUGUAACUUGCAUUUUUUGCUUCAUGUAAUUUAUCAUUGCAGCAUUUAUCCUUUUUGAUUAUGUGAAGGUCUAUUUUCAUGGCUAUCUAGUUUUCAGUAAAAUGAGUAUAAUAGAA